rnacentral:lncRNA from 1 species
ACCCGCUUUCGUGGGUAUUGUUGGAAGACAGAUUGAGCAAUAUACACUAAAAGUAACUGGAAACUUCCUGCACUGUGUACAGUCUGUAAAAAACAAAGUCAAUGAAUGUUGUCUCUGAUUAUUUACAUACAUGAUCAAUCCAGUCUGUCCUUCACUAAAGCAGUCUGGAAAAAUAACUCAGGAUAAAAAUAUAUUUUAUUUAAAGUGCAGAUGAUACUUGUGAAUUUUUAGAGAAAAAUAUAAUCAUAUAAGCAAAGCAAAAUGAAAAAUACUCCAAAUUCAAUUCCCCAAGAUAGCAACUAAUAUUUUCAUAUAUAUCCUAUGCAUUUUAGUUUGCAUAGGUUAUACAUACAGACAUAAUAAGAACAAAAUAAAAUUGUGCUAUAUUUUAGCUGUAUUUAUCAUUUUAAACUUCUGCUUUAACUUAGUUUUGCAGAGUACACAGCAACAAGUAUUUCAUCAUAUGAUGACUCUCAUGAGUAAAUAUGUCUUUGCACUGUGUAUCUUAUUCUAAGUAAUUGACAUGUUAUCAUUCGACAUUCAGGUUAUGAUUAAAUGAACAGUCACAAAUUAAAGUGUUAUAGCUAGCUUUUAAACUGUCUUCAUAAACAUAAGCAUAUAUUUUAACAUUUAAAAAAUACUACAGGACACUAAAUACAACAGUGAUGUAAGCCUAAGUCUUAAUGAAAUAGUCAUGCGAAAAAUACUUUAGCACCUAUGAUGUUUCAAGCACUAUAAAAAAUAAAAUGGCAUCAGAAGUGAAGCUAUUUGGAAAUUAAUCUAAAUGAAAUGCUGGAUAGUAGAAGUGAGGAUAUACUUUUUUUAUUUGAUACAAAUUUUGUUGAAGUGCUUUUAUUUUUAUUUUUUAUUUUGCAGUUUUAUAUUCUGUUACCAGAUACAACAUAGCAGAUAUACUUCAUGCACGUAAAGCUAAAGGUCACCAAAUCAAGACUAACUAUAUCUUUUCCAUUCAUUUCUUUAUUCAAUCAUGCAUUCAAUCAAGUUCAGAAUUGCAUUCACAAACUAUAUUCUUUUUCUCUCUCCUAUAAAUCCCCUAUGUAACAUACAUUUUUAUAUUCAGUCCCAGUACUUGGGAUAGACUUAAAUACCUCUUCAGAUAAAGUGUCCUUUUAGCACAACUACAGAUAAUAGUCUCUCAUGGCCUUAUUUAUGCAAUUAUUUGGCAAUGUAAUUUUAUUUUAUUUAGAACUUUCUGUAAGGGAAAAAUAAUGUUAUUAAUUUCUAUUAAAAGGGUUAUAUGCAUAUUGUCCUGCUUUUUUACUUUAUAUAAAAUUUUGUCAUGCAAACAAUAGUAAUGUUUAUACAAAAUUAAAUGUCUUAUAGCAGCACUAUUCACAGUAACCAAAAGAUGGAAAGACCUCAAAUUUCCAUCAAUGGAUAGAUGAAUAAACAAAAUAUUGUACAGCCAUACAGUUGAAUAUUUUCAGUAAUAAAAAUGAAGUACUAAUAUAUGCUACAACAUAGACUAAUCUCAAAAUUAUUAUGCUUAGUGAAAGAAGCUACACACAAGAAGUCAUAUAUUGCAUUAUUCCAUUUAUUUGAACUCUCUAGAAUAGGUAAAUGCAUGGAGACAGAAAGAUUUGCGGUUGCCAGAGGCUGGGCAGGGGGAGACGAAAGAGUGAAUGACUACUUAAAGUAUAACAAGUUUUCUUUGGGAAUGAUAAAAUAUUUUGGAACUGAAUAGAAGUAGUGGUUGCAGAAAUAAUGUGAAUGUAUAAUUCUAUUAAAUUGUACACUUAAAAUGGUUAAUUUUAUGUUAUGUGAAUUUUACCUCAACUUCAAAAAGUCUACACAGAAAAAUUUUGGGGUAAAAUCUUAAUAAACAGUCCUCAGCAAAUUAUUUGUUUCUAAAUUCAGAUGGAUCAAUGAGAAUCAGAUUCUAAACAUAUUUAAUUUCAGUUGGCAAAAGCAUCAUCUAUUAAAUUGAGGAUUGGAAAUAGAUUAAAGUAAGAAAAGAGGCUUUUUCUUAUGCCUAUUAAGAAACAGACUAUUAAAAAG